AUUGAACGCUGGCGGCAGGCCUAACACAUGCAAGUCGAACGAGUGGCGGACGGGUGAGUAAUGUCUGGGAAACUGCCUGAUGGAGGGGGAUAACUACUGGAAACGGUAGCUAAUACCGCAUACCAUCGGAUGUGCCCAGGUGGGAUUAGCUAGUAGGGGGGGUAACGGCUCACCUAGGCGCCGAUCCCUAGCUGGUCUGAGAGGAUGACUAGCCAGACUGAAACUGAGACACGGUCCAGACUCCUACGGGAGGAAGCGGGGGGGAAUAUUGCACAAUGGGCGAAAGCCUGAUGCAGCCAUGCCGCGUGUAUGAAGAAGGCCUUCGGGUUGUAAAGUACUUUCAGCGGGGAGGCGUUACCCGAAGAAGAAGCACCGGCUAACUCCGUGCCAGCAGCCGCGGUAAGAG
rnacentral:rRNA from 1 species